rnacentral:rRNA from 1 species
UUGAUGAAGGCCUUAGGGUUGUAAAGCUCUUUCACCGAUGAAGAUAAUGACGGUAGUCGGAGAAGAAGCCCCGGCUAACUUCGUGCCAGCAGCCGCGGUAAUACGAAGGGGGCUAGCGUUGUUCGGAAUUACUGGGCGUAAAGCGCACGUAGGCGGAUAUUUAAGUCAGGGGUGAAAUCCCAGAGCUCAACUCUGGAACUGCCUUUGAUACUGGGUAUCUUGAGUAUGGAAGAGGUAAGUGGAAUUGCGAGUGUAGAGGUGAAAUUCGUAGAUAUUCGCAGGAACACCAGUGGCGAAGGCGGCUUACUGGUCCAUUACUGACGCUGAGGUGCGAAAGCGUGGGGAGCAAACAGGCAUUAGAUACCCU